CAACAUUGGAAAUUCCUGUAAAAAAUAUAUUUAUCAAUACAUUUGUCUAUAAAUAAAAAAUAAUAACUAACCAUUAUCACUCCAACCGGCCACAAUACCUGUAUUGCCCAUCGCUAUUUCACUAUCGUUUUGAGAUUCAGAGCAAAAAAUGGAUGACGAUCGAGAAGAAACUACCAAACCAGAGGAUCCCCAACCUAUAAGAUCACUAUUAGAAAAUAUCAGUGACCUAUCGGAUCAUGUAAAACAAUGUGCCUGUGGCUUUCAAAUGACUGAAGCAAGAUGGUGCCUGUGCCGCAGUAUAAGUGUAUUUUUAGUUGGCGUUGCUCUAGGCAUCAAAUUGCAAGAUGUUGUCCGAAAUGUCAUGAAUAAUUAAUAUAUCUUAUUACAUUUCUUAUGUGUACUUACUUGUAUUUAAAUAUGCUAGUCUAACAAUCCAUGGAUAAACUUCUGAACUUUGGCCCUUUGGCAAUUUACCACAA